rnacentral:rRNA from 1 species
GAUGAACGCUAGCGGCAGGCUUAACACAUGCAAGUCGAGGGGCAGCAUAAAUAGUAGCAAUACUAUUGGUGGCGACCGGCGGACGGGUGCGUAACGCGUAUACAACCUUCCCUAAACAGGGGGAUAAUCUGGAGAAAUUCGGUCUAAUACCCCAUAACAUCAGAGCAGGCAUCUGUUUUGGUUAAAAUUUCCGGAGGUUUAGGAUGGGUAUGCGUAGCAUUAGCUAGUUGGUGAGGUAACGGCUCACCAAGGCGACGAUGCUUAGGGGGACUGAGAGGUUAAACCCCCACACUGGUACUGAGAAACGGACCAGACUCCUACGGGAGGCAGCAGUGAGGAAUAUUGGUCAAUGGGCGGAAGCCUGAACCAGCCAUGCCGCGUGCAGGAUGACGGCUCUAUGAGUUGUAAACUGCUUUUGUACGAGGGUAAAGUGGGCUACGUGUAGCCUUUUGAAAGUAUCGUACGAAUAAGGAUCGGCCAACUCCGUGCCAGCAGCCGCAGUAA